rnacentral:rRNA from 1 species
CGAGGAGGUAGGGCUUACGCUUGCGUUUGUCUGUUAUAUCUUGGUGGACGAGUUGUCGCGGUUGGGACUGAGGUGCCUACAACGUGCUUUUGAGUGAGUUUGUGUCUCCGUGUGCGCCGUGUGUGGAUAGCUUGCUAUGUAUGUGCGGUUGUGUGUGGAUUGAUGCGGGCUUUAACUUGUUGCCGUUCGGGACGUUGACGAAAUGGAGCGAUCCGACCCGUCUUGAAACACGGACCAAGGAGUCUAACAUGUGUGCAAGUGUUAGGGUGUGGAAACCCCAGCGCGAAAUGAAAGUGAAGGGCAGCGCAAGUUGUCUGAGGUAGGAAACGUUGUGGACUUCGGUCUGCGGCGUGGCACUAUCGACCGAUCAUGAACCUUCGUGGUGAAAGAUUUGAGUUUGAGCACAUAUGUUGGUACCCGAAAGAUGGUGAACUAUGCCUGAGUAGGGUGAAGCCAGGGGAAACUCUGGUGGAAGCUCGUAGCGAUUCUGACGUGCAAAUCGAUCGUCAAACUUGGGUAUAGGGGCGAAAGACUAAUCGAACCAUCUAGUAGCUGGUUCCCUCCGAAAUUUCCCUCAGGAUAGCAGCAACUUAUUUACGAUAGUUUUAUGAGGUAAAGCGAAUGAUUAGAGGAUUCGGGGAAGAAACUUCCUCGACCUAUUCUCAAACUUUAAAUCUGUAAGACCUGCAGGUUUCUUAAU